rnacentral:rRNA from 1 species
GACGAACGCUGGCGGCGUGCUUAACACAUGCAAGUCGAACGGAAAGGCCCUGCUUUUGUGGGGUGCUCGAGUGGCGAACGGGUGAGUAACACGUGAGCAACCUGCCCUUGACUUUGGGAUAACUUCAGGAAGCUGGGGCUAAUACCGGAUAGGAGCUCCUGCUGCAUGGUGGGGGUUGGAAAGUUUCGGCGGUUGGGGAUGGACUCGCGGCUUAUCAGCUUGUUGGUGGGGUAGUGGCUUACCAAGGCUUUGACGGGUAGCCGGCCUGAGAGGGUGACCGGCCACAUUGGGACUGAGAUACGGCCCAGACUCCUACGGGAGGCAGCAGUGGGGAAUAUUGCACAAUGGGCGGAAGCCUGAUGCAGCAACGCCGCGUGCGGGAUGACGGCCUUCGGGUUGUAAACCGCUUUCGCCUGUGACGAAGCGUGAGUGACGGUAAUGGGUAAAGAAGCACCGGCUAACUACGUG